UACGUAGGCAGCAAGCGUUGUUCGGAGUUACUGGGCGUAAAGGGUGUGUAGGCGGUUCUUUAAGUUUGGUGUGAAAUCUCCCGGCUCAACUGGGAGGGUGCGCCGAAUACUGAGGGACUAGAGUACGGGAGAGGAAAGUGGAAUUCCUGGUGUAGCGGUGAAAUGCGUAGAUAUCAGGAGGAACACCGGUGGUGUAGACGGCUUUCUGGACCGACACUGAUGCUGAGACACGAAAGCGUGGGUAGCAAACAGG
rnacentral:rRNA from 1 species